AUGCAAGUCGAACGGAGCUUAGAGAGCUUGCUUUUUAAGCUUAGUGGCGAACGGGUGAGUAACGCGUGAGUAACCUGCCCUAGAGUGGGGGACAACAGUUGGAAACGACUGCUAAUACCGCAUAAGCCCACGGUACCGCAUGGCACUGAGGGAAAAGGAUUUAUUCGCUUUAGGAUGGACUCGCGUCCAAUUAGCUAGUUGGUGAGGUAACGGCCCACCAAGGCGACGAUUGGUAGCCGGACUGAGAGGUUGAACGGCCACAUUGGGACUGAGACACGGCCCAGACUCCUACGGGAGGCAGCAGUGGGGGAUAUUGCACAAUGGGGGAAACCCUGAUGCAGCGACGCCGCGUGGAGGAAGAAGGUUUUCGGAUUGUAAACUCCUGUCGUUAGGGACGAUAAUGACGGUACCUAACAAGAAAGCACCGGCUAACUACGUGCCAGCAGCCGCGGUAAAACGUAGGGUGCAAGCGUUGUCCGGAAUUACUGGGUGUAAAGGGAGCGCAGGCGGGAAGACAAGUCGGAAGUGAAAACCAUGGGCUCAACCCAUGAAUUGCUUUCAAAACUGUUUUUCUUGAGUAGUGCAGAGGUAGAUGGAAUUCCCGGUGUAGCGGUGGAAUGCGUAGAUAUCGGGAGGAACACCAGUGGCGAAGGCGGUCUACUGGGCACCAACUGACGCUGAGGCUCGAAAGCAUGGGUAGCAAACAGGAUUAGAUACCCUGGUAGUCCAUGCCGUAAACGAUGAUUACUAGGUGUUGGGGGAUUGACCCCCUCAGUGCCGCAGUUAACACAAUAAGUAAUCCACCUGGGGAGUACGACCGCAAGGUUGAAACUCAAAGGAAUUGACGGGGGCCCGCACAAGCAGUGGAGUAUGUGGUUUAAUUCGAAGCAACGCGAAGAA
rnacentral:rRNA from 1 species